UGCGCUUUACCAGCAACAAGGGGGGGAU
rnacentral:sRNA from 1 species